UCUCAGUUCUUCAUCACAUGUAUUCACUGUUACAUAUUUAUGUGUUGUAUCCUUUAAUUUCAGGAAAGGCCCAACAAGCCAAACAGCAACCAUGUGACUCCAGUUGUCUGUUAAUUCAUGUCAUUACUCAGGAUGAAGGUGUGCUGCAAUACCUUAAGAAAAUCAUCAGAGGCAACAUUGUGUCUCCCUGGGCCAAGAAGGAGGACAGGGUCUUCAGUCUUAUUGAAGAUGAUGACCAAGUGGACCAGGUGAUGCACUUGUUGUCUGGAGUGGUUGAAAGUCCACAGACAGAUAAGAAGUCUGCAGAUCCUGUGGCUUUAAUCAUACAGAGAGAUAACUCAGCUUCAGAGCCACAUGUCUAAGGAAGCAAGGCUCAAACUGGAAAGCCUUAGAGAGUGAGGACUUUGUCGUUAGGCGUCUGUAAUCCCUGACUACUUUUAGAAACAUGUAAAUAGUUAAUUGUCUGCUAUGCAUACAAAU